CAAUAGCGUAUAUUAAAGUUGUUGCAGUUAAAAAGCUCGUAGUUGGACCUUGGACCUGGACAGGCGGUCCGCCUCACGGCGUGUACUGUCUUGCUGGGUCUUUCCUCUUGGUGAUCUGUUGUUUCGGCAGCAGGGAACCAGGACUUUUACUUUGAAAAAAUUAGAGUGUUCAAAGCAGGCUCGACGCCGGAAUAUAUUAGCAUGGAAUAAUAAAAUAGGACGUGCGGUUCUAUUUUGUUGGUUUUUGGAAUCGCCGUAAUGAUUAAUAGGGACAGUCGGGGGCAUUAGUACUCACAUGCUAGAGGUGAAAUUCUUGGAUUUUGUGAAGAUUAACUUCUGCGAAAGCAUUUGCCAAGGAUGUUUUCAUUAA
rnacentral:rRNA from 1 species